rnacentral:rRNA from 1 species
UACGUAGGGUGCGAGCGUUGCCCGGAUUUAUUGGGCGUAAAGGGCGCGUAGGCGGCUCGGCACGUCCGUUGUGAAAUCGCCCGGCUCAACUGGGCGGGGUCAGCGGAUACGGUCGAGCUUGAGCAAGCUAGGGGGUAAUGGAAUUCCCGGUGUAGUGGUGGAAUGCGUAGAUAUCGGGAGGAACACCAGUGGCGAAGGCGGUUACCUGGGGCUUUGCUGACGCUGAUGCGCGAAAGCGUGGGGAGCGAUCCAG